UUUCAGAAACACCCACUGAGCUGUUUCCAAAACAAAGAAUAAUAGAAGAGCAUUUUCAGUAAUUUGAGGAUUUUUCAACUUUUUUCCAAGAUUGGGGCUCUUUUUGAACAACGUAUGUUAUUUCAAUGCUUUUAUUUUUGGACUCACGCCAUAGUCCACCCAUAGGACUCUGAGUAAAAAAAGUUUAAGAAAAAACGUAGUUGUUGUGUUUGAGAAAAAGGCCUCUCAAAAUGCCCCAAAACGGAAAAUACUAGAGGCGUUUUUGUGAACCGAUUAGAUUAGACCGAUUAGCUAUUAUACGCAUUUGUGAACCAAGUUGAUUAUGCUAAUCGUUACAUUUGUGAGACGAUUUAACUCAACUGAUUAGGCAAAUCGACCUAAUCGUCCCAGGAGGUGUUUAGGCGAUUAGAUUUGACUUUUUCAAAAUGGCGGAAUGUUCGACGUCCAUUUAUUAUUGACUGUUAUUGGAGCUCAUGUACUUUUUCAAACUGGAUUAUUAUUUUGUUUUUGGUGAUGGGCAGAUCAACACUAUGGUUUUCAAGGAAAGAUGUCUUAUUUCCAAUUUUAAAGAAUCUUGCUGAAAUCUUAAUGUUUUUCCUUCAACUUUAUUCUGGUUCCUUAUUGUAUCUAAAAUAAAUUAAGAAUGCAAAAUCUGAC